GUAGGUGGCGGUAAUGCACCUUUAAGUUGGUUUGCCAAAACUGCCAAAAAACAUCAGAAGGAGAAGAAGAAGGAGGAGGAGGAGGAGGCUUGGCUAAGCGAGACCAUCUAAAGAAAGGAGCAAAUCACGUGAGCAUUUGGUCUCAGCGGACGCAGCGAGAACUUUCCCGGUAGAGCACGUGUAGAAGGAAGCAACAGCGCUCCUGCUUUGGAACAAGAGGGAGUGGACAGUUCAGCUUUUGAGUCAGAGCAGGAACCUUCAGGUAAAGUUUAAGCUAUAAGCAAAACUAAACAUGCUGGCUAUACUCUUAGAACAAUAUGUGCUUUUAUGAUUUAUAAGAUCAUCAGUAGUAGGACUGUGAUCAUGGGGACAUACAUUUGAUGGCUGCACAAUUAAUAUAGAUUAUUGAAAGUGCUUAUUUCAUAUUGCAGAGAAACUAUAUGUGCAGAGUGAGAGAGAGGGGGAUUCAGGGAAAGAUGAUAUAGAUGGUGUAUUCCUAGUGAGUUUUUGAGGGUUUAUUUAUUUAUCCAUUCAUAUUAUGCAUGGUAAUCUACCCGUUACAUUAACUAACAGGGUUAGCCUAAAAGUUUAGCAGUCUGGUGGACACAUGAAUACGGUGGUGGUGACUGCAGCAACAGAGGUGGCCUGGGGUGGAGUCAAAUUCCCGGCCUGAUUUACUGUCCCAGUCCGCCACUGGUCAUGACUGAAUUCUGGGAUUAACUCAGCAUUAUGGAAAUUAUAAGGCUUUAACCUUAAGUUAUAAAUGGGACAUAACUGUAUCUGCACGGUGGGAUGUUG
ensembl:lncRNA